rnacentral:rRNA from 1 species
GAUGAACGCUGGCGGCGUGCCUAACACAUGCAAGUCGAACGGACUUACAUUGAAGCCUAGCGAUAUGUAAGUUAGUGGCGGACGGGUGAGUAACGCGUGGGUAACCUGCCUUGUACUGGGGGACAACAGUUGGAAACGACUGCUAAUACCGCAUAAGCGCACAGCUUCGCAUGAAGCAGUGUGAAAAACUCCGGUGGUACAAGAUGGACCCGCGUCUGAUUAGCUAGUUGGUGAGGUAACGGCCCACCAAGGCGACGAUCAGUAGCCGGCCUGAGAGGGUGAACGGCCACAUUGGGACUGAGACACGGCCCAGACUCCUACGGGAGGCAGCAGUGGGGAAUAUUGCACAAUGGGGGAAACCCUGAUGCAGCAACGCCGCGUGAGUGAAGAAGUAUGUCGGUAUGUAAAGCUCUAUCAGCAGGAAAGAAAAUGACGGUACCUGACUAAGAAGCCCCGGCUAACUACGUGCCAGCCGCCGCGGUAA